GAGUAAUGUCUGGGAAACUGCCUGAUGGAGGGGGAUAACUACUGGAAACGGUAGCUAAUACCGCAUAACGUCGCAAGACCAAAGAGGGGGACCUUCGGGCCUCUUGCCAUCGGAUGUGCCCAGAUGGGAUUAGCUAGUAGGUGGGGUAACGGCUCACCUAGGCGACGAUCCCUAGCUGGUCUGAGAGGAUGACCAGCCACACUGGAACUGAGACACGGUCCAGACUCCUACGGGAGGCAGCAGUGGGGAAUAUUGCACAAUGGGCGCAAGCCUGAUGCAGCCAUGCCGCGUGUAUGAAGAAGGCCUUCGGGUU
rnacentral:rRNA from 1 species